ensembl:rRNA 5S_rRNA 5S ribosomal RNA
UACAGCAACCAUAUCACCCUGCAACUCACAACUGGCAACCCACUGAAGCUAAGCAGGUGUGAGCCUGGUCAGUACCUGGAUGGGAGACCUCCUGGGAAAAACUAAGGUUGCUGCUGGAA